rnacentral:rRNA from 1 species
UGGGGAAUAUUGGACAAUGGGCGCAAGCCUGAUCCAGCCAUGCCGCGUGAGUGAUGAAGGCCCUAGGGUUGUAAAGCUCUUUUGUGCGGGAAGAUAAUGACUGUACCGCAAGAAUAAGCCCCGGCUAACUUCGUGCCAGCAGCCGCGGUAAUACGAAGGGGGCUAGCGUUGCUCGGAAUCACUGGGCGUAAAGGGUGCGUAGGCGGGUCUUUAAGUCAGGGGUGAAAUCCUGGAGCUCAACUCCAGAACUGCCUUUGAUACUGAGGAUCUGGAGUGCGGGAGAGGUGAGUGGAACUGCGAGGGUAGAGGUGAAAUUCGUAGAUAUUCGCAAGAACACCAGUGGCGAAGGCGGCUCACUGGCCCGAUACUGACGCUGCGGCACGAAAGCGUGGGGAGCAAACA